rnacentral:rRNA from 1 species
GUGCUUAACACAUGCAAGUCGAACGAUGAAGCCCUUCGGGGUGGAUUAGUGGCGAACGGGUGAGUAACACGUGGGCAAUCUGCCCUUCACUCUGGGACAAGCCCUGGAAACGGGGUCUAAUACCGGAUAACACUCUGUCCCGCAUGGGACGGGGUUAAAAGCUCCGGCGGUGAAGGAUGAGCCCGCGGCCUAUCAGCUUGUUGGUGGGGUAAUGGCCUACCAAGGCGACGACGGGUAGCCGGCCUGAGAGGGCGACCGGCCACACUGGGACUGAGACACGGCCCAGACUCCUACGGGAGGCAGCAGUGGGGAAUAUUGCACAAUGGGCGAAAGCCUGAUGCAGCGACGCCGCGUGAGGGAUGACGGCCUUCGGGUUGUAAACCUCUUUCAGCAGGGAAGAAGCGAAAGUGACGGUACCUGCAGAAGAAGCGCCGGCUAACUACGUGCCAGCAGCCGCGGGUAAUAC